UGUCACAGCUUUAUCAGCCUACAACUCACAACUGCUUGCAGCCCACUGAAGCUCAGCAGGUGUGAGCCUGGCCAGUACCUGGAUGGGAGACCUCCUGGGAAAGCUAAGGUUGCUGUUGGAA
rnacentral:rRNA from 1 species